UACGUAGGCAGCGAGCGUUGUUCGGAAUUACUGGGCGUAAAGAGUGUGUAGGUGGUGCUCUAAGUUCGGUGUGAAAUCCCCUGGCUCAACUGGGAGGGUGCGCCGGGAACUGGAGUGCUUGAGCGUGGGAGAGGAAAGCGGAAUUCCUGAUGUAGCGGUGAAAUGCGUAGAUAUCAGGAGGAACACCUGUGGUGUAGACGGCUUUCUGGACCAUAGCUGACGCUGAGACACGAAAGCGUGGGUAGCAAACAGG
rnacentral:rRNA from 1 species